rnacentral:rRNA from 1 species
AUUGAACGCUGGCGGUAGGCCUAACACAUGCAAGUCGAACGGCAGCACAGAAAAAGCUUGCUCUUAGGGGUGGCGAGUGGCAGACGUGUGAGGAAUACAUCGGAAUCGACUUUUUCGUGGGGGAAAAAGUGGGGAAACUUACGCUAAUACCGUAUACGACCUACGGGUAAAAGCAGGGGCUCUUCGCAUCUUGCGCUAGUGAAUGACCCGAUGUCGGAUUAGCUAGUUGGCGGGGUAAAGGCCCACCAAGGCGACUAUCCGUAGCUGGUCUGAGAGGAUGAUCAGCCACACUGGAACUGAGACACGGUCCAGACUCCUACGGGAGGCAGCAGUGGGGAAUAUUGGACAAUGGGCGCAAGCCUGAUCCAGCCAUACCGCGUGGGUGAAGAAGGCCUUCGGGUUGUAAAGCCCUUUUGUUGGGCAAGAAAAGCAGCAGGUUAAUACCCUGCUCCAUUGACGUUACCCAAAGAAUAAGCACCGGCUAACUCCGUG